UACGUAGGGCGCAAGCGUUGUCCGGAAUUAUUGGGCGUAAAGAGCUCGUAGGCGGUUUGUCGCGUCUGUCGUGAAAGCCCACGGCUUAACUGUGGGUCUGCGGUGGAUACGGGCAGACUAGAGGCAGGUAGGGGAGAAUGGAAUUCCCGGUGUAGCGGUGAAAUGCGCAGAUAUCGGGAGGAACACCGGUGGCGAAGGCGGUUCUCUGGGCCUGUACUGACGCUGAGGAGCGAAAGCCAGGGGAGCAAACGGG
rnacentral:rRNA from 1 species